rnacentral:lncRNA from 1 species
UAAAAGUCAAGCUGACAAUAUGAGAUAUAUGUACAGUCUUUCAAAUUGAAAUAAAUGCAUCCACAAAAGAAAGACAACUAAAUCCUAUACAACCCUCUAAUUUGAUCAUGCUACAAAAAGCUAUACAACCUGGGUGAUCUCCACACGCUCUGCAAGAUCCUUCUGACAUAGCUUCGGUCAGGUAUGACUAACUACUUUCCCAUCUCCAGGGUACUAACCGGUAGGAUGAUCCUGGUUCUCAUCUGAGGGCAAAGCCCAGAUUUCCACAAUAAUUGUAAAGGUCACUAGCCGAAAUUAACAAAUAUCACAUAAGAAAAUUCUUAUAUUUUCAAAUGCUCAAAAGAACCUUUUGUCUUAGCAUACUCCUCGAAAGGGUUUUCAUAUGUCCAAAAAAUGCAUAAACAAUGUUGAAAAAUGAAGUUUUAGCAUACUACACUGUCGUAGCCGAAUACAACUGAGAAAAUGCAGAUUUUCAGUUCUAAAAUGGCUAUGAAUCAAUGAACACUUCAAACAUUAAUAUUAUCAAUUAUGAACACAUAAUUAACACCAAAUUAAUCUCCACAAAUUAACACCUCAAUUAGACAUCGAAUAUUCAUAAUAUCAAUUAUGAACACAUAAGUACAUCAAAACUUAAUCAACCCAACUUCACACCUCUAAGCAAUUACGACAAAUAACAACAACAACCGAAUAUGUAUAUACAAUCAUCAUAGUACAAAAAACCUAAAUCGUGUGCCAAACACUUUAAUGCAAUGCGUAUAUGCCAAAAUGCAUGAUUCCAAAAUUCCAAACCAAAACCCUCCUCGAAGGGGCGUAAAUCAUAA